UCACAAUCAACAAAAUUAUUUACCGGUAUUUUUGUGAAAUUUCAGUUCUAUAGGUUAUCAAUUAGAGAAAUUUUGGUUUGCAUAUCAGUGGUCCAAGUGAAUUAGAAAUAGUUCCGAGUUGUGUGUGGUUUUUUGUUUUAAUAGUCUAUAGAAAUAGAAGGACUUCCGAAUCCAACCAUGUAGUAUGGAAUGUUGUUGAGAUAUGGUUUUGGUCAAUGGAUGUUAAUGAAGGACCUGUAGUACAAAGUAUAUCACUGG